UGAACGCUGGCGGCAGGCCUAACACAUGCAAGUCGAGCGGAUGACGGGAGCUUGCUCCUUGAUUCAGCGGCGGACGGGUGAGUAAUGCCUAGGAAUCUGCCUGGUAGUGGGGGACAACGUUUCGAAAGGAACGCUAAUACCGCAUACGUCCUACGGGAGAAAGCAGGGGACCUUCGGGCCUUGCGCUAUCAGAUGAGCCUAGGUCGGAUUAGCUUGUUGGUGAGGUAAUGGCUCACCAAGGCGACGAUCCGUAACUGGUCUGAGAGGAUGAUCAGUCACACUGGAACUGAGACACGGUCCAGACUCCUACGGGAGGCAGCAGUGGGGAAUAUUGGACAAUGGGCGAAAGCCUGAUCCAGCCAUGCCGCGUGUGUGAAGAAGGUCUUCGGAUUGUAAAGCACUUUAAGUUGGGAGGAAGGGCAGUAAGUUAAUACCUUGCUGUUUGACGUUACGACAGAAUAAGCACCGGCUAACUCUGUGCC
rnacentral:rRNA from 1 species